rnacentral:lncRNA from 1 species
AAGCUGGUAUCUUUUGCCUCAGUCGAUAGGUUGCGGCAACUCUCAAUGUACCCAUUUAAAUAAUGAGAAAACUGGUAAGAGGUAGUUGCUAUCAGUAAGCACCAUAAGCAUAUAUGCAAAAUGAAUAAAAUUGUAGGAGCCCUAACUUACCUGGAUGAUACACUCCACGUGCAGCUGCUGUCCUCACCUCCUUCCACGAUACAUCCAGUAAUUCGUUUGCA